ensembl:lincRNA
GAAGAAUUACUUGAGCCCUGGAAUACUAGGCUAGUGUGAGGAACAAGACCGAGUAUCUUCUUCUUUUUUUUUUUUUUUUUUUUUUGGAGUCGGAGUCUCACUCUGUCGCCCAGGCUGGAGUGCAGUGGCAUGAUCUUGGCUCACUGCAAACUCUACGUAGCUCCCGGGUUCACGCCAUUCUCCCGCCUCAGCCUUCUGAGUAGCUGGGACUACAGGUACCCACCACCACACCUGGCUAAUUUUUUUUGUAUUUUUAGUAGAGAUAGGGUUUCACCAUGUUAGCCAGGCUGGUCUCGAUCUCCUGACCUUGUGAUUCUCCCACCUUGGCUUCCCAGAGUGCUGGUAUUACAGGCAUGAGCCACCAUGCCUGGCCAAGACCCAGUAUCUUUAAAAACCAAAAAAACAGAAACACUGUCAAUCUGUUUGAUUUGAUCUACCUGCCCUUUCCUGUCUUGUUGUAGCCCAUGUAUCACUGGAAAUCAGUUUGUUCCCUUUAAUUUUACAUUGAUAGGUCAUUGAAAAAUAAUUUUAGCAUUUCAGAAAUGUGAAUAUCAUGACAUUUUAAUAUGUGAUAUAAAAAUUAAUGUUUGGUAUACUUUAUUCCCUGGUUUAGGAGCUGUGACUAAUGAGAAUUAAAGGCCAUGGAUGAAGAUGAAUUUGAAUUGCAGCCACAAGAGCCAAACUCAUUUUUUGAUGGAAUAGGAGCUGAUGCUACACACAUGGAUGGUGAUCAGAUUGUUGUGGAAGUACAAGAAGCAGUUUUUGUUUCUAAUAUUGUGGAUUCAGACAUAACUGUGCAUAACUUUGUUCCUGAUGACCCAGACUCAGUUGUAAUCCAAGAUGUUAUUGAAGAUGUUGUCAUAGAGGAGGAUGUUCAGUGCUCAGAUAUCUUAGAAGAGGCAGAUGUAUCUGAAAAUGUCAUCAUUCCUGAGCAAGUGGUGGACUCAGAUGUAACUGAAGAAGUUUCUUUACCACACUGCACAGUCCCAGAUGAUGUUUUAGCUUCUGACAUUACUUCAGCCUCAAUGUCUAUGCCAGAACAUGUUUUAACGAGUGAAUCCAUGCAUGUGUGUGACAUUGGACAUGUUGAACAUGUGGUCCAUGAUAGUGUAGUGGAAGCAGAAAUCAUUACUGAUCCUCUGACCAGUGACAUAGUUUCAGAAGAAGUGUUGGUAGCAGACUGUGCCCCUGAAGCAAUCAUAGAUGCCAGCGGGAUCUCAGUGGACCAGCAAGAUAAUGACAAAGCCAACUGUGAGGACUACCUAAUGAUUUCGUGUAAGUCAUGGGGUACAGUGAUUUUAAGCAAUGUUUUUGAUACAUGUAUUUUAUAACAUAAAUAAUGGUGAAAUUUUAUUGAUGUUAACUUCUGUAAAAUUAAAGUAGAAAUCAUAAACCUACAUGUAUUGUUGCUUAGUUUGCAUCCCAGAAGAUAAACCAUAAUUAAGUGACAUGGUACAGAACAGUUAUUUCUAUAUUAGCAUAGAAUAGAAAGAUGAGAAAAAUAAGGAAUGAAAAUGACAGAAUUGAGUCUUAUGAAAUCAUGCAAUGUAUGAUUGGUCUGUUACCUUCAGAUUUAUCCCUGAGACUUGUAGUCAGCUUUUUUAAAAGUCUUUUUAUUAUGUAGUCAUUUCACUUUCUCCCUUUUUUCUACUUUAGUGUCCCUUUUCUCUUUAAAGUCAUGAUUUUGUUGUUGUUGUUGUUUAAUUCAUUAUUGGCUUUGGAGUUAAAUCUGGUGAAUUCCCUGAAAUACAGUGGUUGCACCUAAGCAACUAAUUUCUUUAGGUUUCAAAUUGAUUUCAAAUUUUACAUCAUACUAGUUUUAUGUUCUGCUCACUGAUCCUCAUGGGAUGCUGGCUUUCUUGAUUGUGUUUAUAACUUUGUCAACCAGAACAUGAUUGGGCAUAUUUUUGCUUAUGCAGCAGCUGCCAUAGUCUUUCUCUUGCUAGAAUCCCUGACUAUGUUUCUCAAAUAUUUUUAACUCAAUAUCUAGGUAUAUUUUCUACAUUAAUAUGGUUACAACUUAUAGAAUCAUUGUGUCAUUUAUUUGCUGAUUUAAAUAAUUUAGUUAUCCUAAUUGAUCAGUUCAUUACUAUGGUCUUUGAAAUGAAGUUUUAUAGUGUAGAUUUAGUUUAGAGCAUUCCCAUUAAUAUUAAAUACCACCUACACUCCUCGUCCUGUGUCUUUGAGCAUUGCACAGCAAAAUAUUUGUGCAGGCAUUUGCAUGGGCACAGGGAGAGUAGGCAUUUACCUCUUAUAUGAUCAAGUAUACCAUUAUGGCCUAGUUUUCUGAUAAUGAUAAUUUUCUACCUCCCUCUGAACCUGCUUAAUGAUUUUAAAGAGCCUCAUUCAACUGAUUUAAUAAACAUUUAUUUCUGUGUGUAAAAACUUACUCUAUAAAGUGUUUAAAUAUUUAAGAUUAAUAAUUUACAGUUUUNUUUUUUUUUUUUUUUUUUGCUAGCUCUUGCUUUCUCCAGAAAAAAUAUCUCCUAAUGCUGCAUUUUUAAUUAAAACUCUAUAGGGCUUUGGGUUGACAGGUUUUUCAUAAAGUGUAUAGAGGAAGUGUGGUCUGAUUUUAUAUUAAUAUAGAGAAUACUGAGAUGCUGUCAGUGACAGUAAGCUUUAAUGCUUUCCAUAAUAUUAGAGAUGAUAAUAUCUUUUA